UACCAGAUUAAAUUGUUAACUAUUACCAGGAGAAAUCGAUGCUAUCAGAUUAAGUUCUUAACUAUUACCAGGAGAAAUCGAUGCAAGUACCAUCUCUGUUCGACUGAUCUUCAAGCUAAAAUCUUUUUCCAGCUUUUUUUAAUUUAUUUUUAUUCUGGUUUCUGACCCUUAACGCUAAAAAUUCGCUUCAGAUUUUGAACAAUGAGGUUGAUAAGUUCAUUCUUUAGGGUUCAUCAUCAUCGUCCUGGUAAGUCUUUGUAUUGCUCAUGUGAUAAUUUUGAUUGAUUGAGAGGAAAGAAGGAUAAAAAGAGUGAACUUUGGGUUUAGGUUGCAGAGGAUUCCAAAAGUGGUUGAUUUUAAACUCUAGAGGACGAGAAUGAACUCAAAGAUUGUGAUCUAUAUCGGUUCAUGGAGCCUGAGAGAACAAUUUUGCAGCACAGUUUGGAUUCAAUGUACUUUACUCUAUUUCAUGUUUGGAUAAAGAGUCCUUGUGAAAAGCUUUUCUUUAUGUAUAGAGAAGAGAAAGACUUUACUUUUGCAGAUUACAGAGAUUCCAGAACGAUGCAGUUGAUGAAGAAAGCUAGAAAGCAGAAUAACACUAGAGUGGAAGGAAGAGACCUUGUGAGAGGUUACAUUUCUUCACUGUUUUCAUAGUUAUUAAGAUCUUGGCACAAUUUGCUGAUGAGCCAUGUCGAAUGUUGCAUGAAGACCAAGCAGGAAAUAGUAUAGUAACAUGGCUAAAGUGCAAACCCCAAACCUUACAAAAGCCAUUGCUCCCAA
rnacentral:lncRNA from 1 species